ensembl:lncRNA SNHG29 small nucleolar RNA host gene 29
GGCCACAUCUGCCAGAGCCUGGAGUCUGCGAAGGCCGGGACCCGGUUCCCCGGCCCACAGUGGGGGUGUGCAAACCCGAGAGAACUGGGAAGUGCCGUCAGAAGCGAUAACUGACGACGUCUAAUGUCUAUCUGACCGCAGUCGCUGAAACCUCUACAACUUAGUUGACCGUAACUGCCAGAGCCCUGCCCUGAAUUCCUGUCCUUACUCCCUCUUUAAGAUUGCGUACCCACUGCAGAGUGCUGAAGACGGGGUAGCCACGAGGUUGCAAAUUCGUGAAGAAUCAGCAUCAUGUUUGGCAGCUGAGUAUUGGAGCCAGGAGCCUGCCAUGAGCCGAUGCAGCCUCAGUGUUCCUUUGCCUUGGGGGUUUCUGAGUGGUGGGGUUGUAAGCAGAUCCUGCCAGGCACCCAGAAGGAAACCUCAUCAGGACUCCCUCAGAAAGCAGGCCCUGAAGAAUCCUGUGACCUUCAUCUAAAGUAGGUCAUGAGACCCCUGAGCUUAAAACGGAGUGAUCGGCUUUGGAGAAAAAUCCCUGGAAGGCACGCAGGCUGGACAUCAUCAUAUAUUCUCUACAGAUGGAGACACCAAGGCCCACGCCUUCUGUGCUGUUGGAAUUUCAGGAAGGAUGGGGGUGGGGCACGGCCUCAGCCCUGGGCAUGUUCUGCAGAUUGCACUGCUCUUAUCUGCCAGGGGGUGGUGAGAGGGUGGCUGAGCUGGACAGAUGGCGGGCAGGGACGGGCUCUGCGGUCUGGCAGCUGACAUUGAUACAAGCAAAAAAAGAGUCUUUGCUGGGG